AGGCAGUGUAGCUUAACGGUAGAGCAAUGGUUUCAUAAUCCAUUGGCGGGAGUUCGAUUCUCCCCAUUGCUA
rnacentral:tRNA from 1 species